rnacentral:tRNA from 1 species
AUUUAAGUAGUUUAUUAAAAUAUUAAUUUGUGGAAUUAAAGUUAUGAAAUAUUUAAAAUUUUAUCUUAAAUA